CGUGUGCCUACAACCGGUCAAAGCCCCUUAUGAGGGUGAUGACGUGCUUUUUGUAGAACGAGCCAACGAGUUACGGUAUGUAGCAAGGUUAAGUACUUAAGGUACGGAGCCGAAGGGAAACCGAGUCUUAAUAGGGCGACUAGUUGCAUGCCGUAGACCCGAAACCGGGUGACCUAUCCAUGGCCAGGUUGAAGCGGGGGUAAAACCCCGUGGAGGACCGAACCACGUUGCUGUUGAAAAAGCAUGGGAUGAGCUGUGGAUAGCGGAGAAAUUCCAAUCGAACUCGGAGAUAGCUGGUUCUCCUCGAAAUAGCUUUAGGGCUAGCGUCGGAUAUGAGUAGUGGAGGUAGAGCACUGAAUGGGCUAGGGGGCAUAGCGCUUACCGAACCUUAUCAAACUCCGAAUGCCACAUACUAUUAGUCCGGCAGUCAGACUGCGAAAGAUAAGUUCCGUAGUCAAAAGGGAAACAGCCCAGAUCGUCAGCUAAGGUCCCAAAGUGUAAGUUAAGUGGAAAAGGAUGUGGGAUUUCUAAGACAACUAGGAUGUUGGCUUAACUUACCACCGAAGCUACGGGUUCACACUUAUGUGUGAGCGGUAGAGGAGCGUCGUAAUCGGGCUGAAGUCGUACCGUAAGGAGCGGUGGACUGAUUACGAGUGAGAAUGUUGGCAUUAGUAGCGAGAUGUGGGUGAGAAUCCCACAGGCCGAAUAUCUAAGGUUUCCUCAGGAAGGUUCGUCCGCUGAGGGUUAGUCGGGACCUAAGCCGAGGCCGAAAGGCGUAGGCGAUGGACAAUCGGUUGAUAUUCCGAUACCACUACUGAUCGUUAUUAUCGAUGGUGUGACGGAGAAGGAUAGAGUGUGCUAGCUAUUGGAUGCUAGUCUAAGCGUUUAGGGAGUUAGGAAAGGCAAAUCCGUCCUAACAAUUCUGAGGCGUGAUGGGGAAGGUUCUACGGAACCGAAGUACUUGAUUCCAUGCUUCCAAGAAAAGCAUCUAGAGAGAGAUGUAGUGCCCGUACCGCAAACCGACACAGGUAGAUGAGGAGAGAAUCCUAAGGCCGGCGGAAGAAUCACAGUUAAGGAACUAGGCAAAUUGACCCCGUAACUUAGGGAGAAGGGGUGCCUGUGAGAGCAGGCCGCAGAGAAUAGGCCCAAGCAACUGUUUAGCAAAAACACAGGUCUCUGCUAAAGCGAAAGCUGAUGUAUAGGGGCUGACGCCUGCCCGGUGCUGGAAGGUUAAGGGGAACACUUAGCGCAAGCGAAGGUGUGAACUUAAGCCCCAGUAAACGGCGG
rnacentral:rRNA from 1 species